CCUAUGUGAACCUACCUAUCGUUGCUUCGGCGGGCUUUAGCCCCCGCGCCCUCGCCGGCGCCGGGAGAAAGGCGCCCGCCGGAGACCCAAACUCAAUGUUUUUCAUGCAGUAUUAUUCUGAGUGGCAAACGCAAAAAUAAAUCAAAACUUUUAACAACGGAUCUCUUGGCUCUGGCAUCGAUGAAGAACGCAGCGAAAUGCGAUAAGUAAUGUGAAUUGCAGAAUUCAGUGAAUCAUCGAAUCUUUGAACGCACAUUGCGCCCGCGAGUAUUCUCGCGGGCAUGCCUGUCCGAGCGUCAUUUCAACCCUCAGGGCCCGCCUGCUCGCAGGCGCGGCGCUGGCGUUGGGGAUCGGCCUAACCGCCGUCCCCCAAAUACAGUGGCGGUCUCGCCGCAGCCUCCCCUGCGUAGUAGCAACACUCGCAUGCGGAGCGCGGCGCGGCCACGCCGUGAAACCCCCGACCGGCGAGUGAAGCGGCAACAGCUCAAAUUUGAAAUCUGGACCCAGUCCCGAGUUGUAAUUUGCAGAGGAUGAUUUUGGCGCGGUGCCUUCCAAGUUCCCUGGGACGGGACGCCGGAGAGGGUGAGAGCCCCGUCAGGUUGGACACCAAGCCUAUGUAAAUCUCCUUCGACGAGUCGAGUAGUUUGGGAAUGCUGCUCUAAAUGGGAGGUAUAUGUCUUCUAAAGCUAAAUACCGGCCAGAGACCGAUAGCGCACAAGUAGAGUGAUCGAAAGAUGAAAAGCACUUUGGAAAGAGAGUUAAACAGCACGUGAAAUUGUUAAAAGGGAAGCGUUUACGACCAGACUUGUGCCGGUUGAUCAUCCAGCGUUCUCGCUGGUGCACUCUGCCGGCCCAGGCCAGCAUCAGUUCGCCGCGGGGGAUAAAGGCGUCGGGAAUGUGGCUCCCCCGGGAGUGUUAUAGCCCUUCGCGCAAUACCCUGAGGCGGACUGAGGUUCGCGCAUUCGCAAGGAUGCUGGCGUAAUGGUCGUCAACGACCCGUCUUGAAACACGGACCAAGGAGUCGUCUUCGUAUGCGAGUGUUCGGGUGUAAAACCCCUACGCGUAAUGAAAGUGAACGCAGGUGAGAGCUUCGGCGCAUCAUCGACCGAUCCUGAUGUUCUCGGAUGGAUUUGAGUAAGAGCAUA
rnacentral:sRNA from 1 species